rnacentral:rRNA from 2 species
AAAUUGAAGAGUUUGAUCAUGGCUCAGAUUGAACGCUGGCGGCAGGCCUAACACAUGCAAGUCGAGCGGUAGC